rnacentral:lncRNA from 1 species
UCUCGCCCCGUCCUUCUCCGGCAGCAGGUUCUGGGCUCUGGAGGGGGUCAACUCCGACGGCGACGACGAUGAGGUAAGUAGCGACGUAAGUGAUGGUGGUGGUGGUUCGCUGAGGCCCCGUGCGGGGUGCUCGGUGGGUGACUUUGUCGCCCGUGCGGAGGAGCUUGGUGGCUCCUUCGUGGCCGGUCGCCGGCGAGCCUUUGCCCCUGGUGGACAUGGAGGGCGUCGUCCGGCGCCGCGGAUCUGGCGUCCGCCGCAGGGGGUGGAUGCGGGUCCUGAGGGCCGCUCGUGCGCCCUGUCGGAGGUGGUUCGCCGCGAUCUGGUGUUGGAGGGACCUCCUCCGGUCCCGGCGAGCUCGUCGGAGCCGACAGGGGUCGGCGGCGGCGACGGCGGGGCCGCCAGUGUCGGGGAACCGCGGGUCCUGGCUAGGGUUUCUGGGGAGCCGGCGGUCGGGCUCGUUUCCCCGCUGGGCCAGGAGGAGUGGCCCAGCCUUCCAGGAAUUGGGCUGGGGGGCCCAUCGGCGAUCCAGCCCGCUUCUCGGCUUGUGGGGGUGCAGGGACGCCCCUCCGUGCUUGGGCCUGACCAGCCUGGCCCGGCGGCCUGCUGUGAGCCUACGCUUAGGCCCGGGCCCAGUGCGGAGGAGGCUGAGCGGUCGUCCGCCCCUAUUAAUAGGUGGCUGUGGGUGCCAAAAGGAACCCUAGAUCUGUCUCUAGGGUUUCCUGCAUCCUACUCUCAGGUGCGGCGCUUCGGGCACCUUGCCCGUCGUCUCCUACGUUCUGCCCCUCCCCCACCUCUUUCCUGCUCGUUCGCCACUGUUGUGAGGAUGGGCUCCCGCCGCGGCGACAAGCCUCCCAUGUCGCCUCCGAUCCCGGCGGCGGAUCGACAGCGCGAGCACGAUCUGCGGGCGAAGGCGCUCUCCAAGGCGUCGGCGAAGGCCGCGGGGGACGGGGGCUGGGGGCCGCCGCCUCCAUGGUGGCUUGCGGAGCAAGAGCGGAAGCAGCAAGAGGACCGCGAGCGCAAGAAGAAGAAGGAGGAAUAUCGGCGCCGCGGGCUGGAACAGAAGAAAGAGCUCAAGAGGAAGGAGUCCCAGCUCCCUCCGGGUGGUGAGCGGAGUGGGGAUCCGAUGGCCAAGAAGCAGAAGCAAAAGGGGGGCCGUCGGCUUCGAAGGGUUCGGCUGACGCUCUGAUCCCUGUGGAGGAGGCUGACGGGCCGGAGUGCUUCAAGUGCGGCAGGGUGGGGCAUUACCAAAAUGUGUGCCACUUCAAGCCCCUGUGCGUCGUCUGCCACGAGGAAGGGCACGUGUCGGCGUAUUGCCCCACGCGGGGGCGGCCUCUUCUGCUGCAGAUCAUGGGCAACGCCAUCCCUGGAGAGGGCUUCUUCUGCCUCCCUUUCGUGGAGACGGAGGGCGAGGAGGUCCAGGCCCCGCUGGUGGCGGAUGCGGCGAUCAUCUCGGCGGCGCCCGGCACGCUGUCGAUCCCCAUCUUGGAGGCGGAGCUCCCUCACCUCUUCGAGGGGGUGUGGGACUGGCAGGUGACGGCCAUCGGCGUCGACCAGUUCUCGGUCGUCUUCCCCAACAAGGCCAUGCUGCGGAUGGCGACCCGCAGCGGCAAGCUCUACCUCUCCCUCAACGACAUCAUGGCGGACAUCAAGGAACUGAGCCAGGAGGAACCCAAGGCCGAGAUCAUGCCGGACGUGUGGGUCAAGCUGUGGGGUGUGCCACCCAAGCACCGCCGCGAGGACCGCCUCAUGGCAGGGACGGUGAUGAUUGGGCGUCCAAUGGAGGUGGAUCAGGCGUCGUUGCCGGGGCGCGGCCCAGUCCGGAUGCGCUUCGCGUGUCGAUCGCCGGCCAAGCUCAAGGGCUACGUCCAAGUGUGGUUCAACAGCGAGGGCUUCACCAUUCGUCUGGAGGCCGAGGUGGGUGAUCUACAAGGUGCGGCGCCCCCUCCCCCUCCACCAGCCAGCGUGGACAAGGGACCAAAUGACAAAGACAAGGACCACGACCACGACGCGAGCAUGGGGGGUGACUCCAUCGACACCGCCACUUGGGACAAGCUUGGCCUCAAGGACAAGGACCCCCAGGACGCGCCCCCGGCGGCGGGCGCUGCGAAGGAGCAGGAGGAACGGCAAGUGGUGGUGGGCAGCAACGAGAUGAGUCUCAACCAGUACGGCUCCAACAUGACGCUGGGCCUCGACAUCGACAAGGGGGUCUCGGCGUCCUGCGACUCGGAGGGUCGCUCGAUGCUCGUCUCCCCGGUGGCUGCGGUGGUGGGUGAGCCUCGGGCUGCCACGGCGCGCUCACCCAAGGCGGUUGGCCUCGGUGGCGGUGGGACGAGGCUCCACAAGAAGCCGGCAGGCCGCAAGACUCCCUUGGUGGCGCCGGUGAGCCCUCCCUCGGGCCAUGCGGGCACGCCUGCUCCGCAGCGGCCGGUGGUGAUGGCGCUGGCCUCUCCUGGGGGUCCGACUGGUGGCACCUCGUCGGUCAUCUCCCCUCCAGCUUCUGACGCGCUCCGCGCGGAGGUGGCCAAGGUGGUGCCCGUUUCAACGGCCAAGCGCUCCAAGGCGGUGGUGGCGUCCACGGCGAUGCAGGAGCAGGUGAGCUCCCGCCCGAAGGGCGCCAAGGGCAACCUUCCAGCCCCCAACGCGCCCAACUCCUGCAGGCCCAGAAGAACCUGGAAACCGAAGGUAACCCCAUGCCCCGCUUUACGAUCUUUGAUGAAUAUUCUGAUGAGUGCUUAGGGGGUAUCUUAGAAGAUAGUGGGGUGGUGAUGUCUGACGAGGGGGAAGCGCGCGAAGUGCUCUCUCUUAUUCGUGCUAAGGAAAUCGCACAGGCCGCGCUAGCUCAGGCAGCGCUGGCCCGCGCUGCGCCAGCAGCAGAAGAUGCAGGGGCUUCUUUGGUGACUGUUACGCGGCCCGAUCAGGAGGACAUAGCAGCAGGGGCUGCGCCGUCCACCUCCAACCGUCGUCCUGCCAAGACACGGCGCGUGGCCAACGCGGUGACCGCUCGCGGUAUCCGCCUCCGCAAUCGCAUUAUCUAAUGCGAUACAUAUUCUGGAACAUCCGAGGCUUCGGCCACGCUGGGAGGCGGACCCAGUUAAAAGAGUUCAUUCGGAACGAGGCGAUCGACGUAGUUGGCCUGCAGGAAACUAUCAAGGCCGAUUUCAAUCAUCGGGACCUGCUAGCUGUCGAUCAGCUGGAGCGUUUUGUUUGGCAUUGGGUGCCGGCGGCCGGGCACUCGGGAGGCAUGCUGCUAGGCAUCAACCUAGUUUGCUUCGAGGUGGUGGCGUGGGAUGCCGGUCGUUUCUUCUUGUCGGCCCACGUACGCCACCGCGCAACUCCAAGAGUGGGAGGUGAUUGUGGUUUACGGCCCGGCCGACCACUCGCUCUCGCUGGAGUUCUUGGGAGAACUCCAGGCGAAGGUUGCGUCUGUGGGCACGCGAAAUUUACCUCUGCUAGUGGGAGGGGAUUUCAACUUAAUUCGCUCGGGAGCGGAUAAAAACAACGGUAUUAUUAAUUGGACAAGGGUGUCCAUGUUUAAUAAUGCAAUCGCAGCCAUGGCCCUUAGGGAAGUGGCCCGCGUGGGGGCACGCUACACCUGGACCAACAAACAACUAACGCCGGUGCGGUCGGGGUCUUGGACAGGGUUUUCAUGUCCUCGGAGUGGGAAGUGCUGUUUCCCUUGUGCUCUUUGCAUGCCGAAACGAGGAUAGGGUCGGACCACGUCCCCCUCAUCCUCUCCUCGGGGGAGGAAAGGCUAAAACGCAGCCCUCGUUUUUUCUUCGAAACCGCGUGGUUAGAGUCUCCGAACUUUGAGCAAAUCUUCCUUUCGAAAUGGGAGAAUUGCGUCGCCCGGGUCGGGCGCGCGCGCGGGCCGAUGGAGUUCUGGAUUGCUGCAGGAGCGGGCUUGCGUGCGGCCCUCAAAGGGUGGGGGGCUAACCAGGGGCGCGAAGAUAAGCUGCUUCGAUCGCAUUUGACCGCGGAGCUCGCUCAGAUGGAUGCUGUGGCGGAUGUGCAGACCUUCUCGGAGCAAGACUGGGCUCAGCGCUACGCGCUUGAGGCUCAGGUCGAGUCCCUCCUUAGAGCUGAGGAGGAGUACUGGCGUAGACGCGGUGGUAUCAAGUGGACGCUCAAGGGUGACGCGAACACUCAAUAUUUUCAUGCCUAUGCUAAUGGCCGUCGCCGCAAAUGCGCCAUUUUGCGCUUGCAAUCUGAGCAGGGGCUCCUUUUGCGGCAACAAGAUAUCGUCCGUCACAUUUACGAGUUCUACAUCCAACUGAUGGGUUCCAGGGAGGAAUCCCGCGCCCGGCUUAGGGCGGAUGUGUGGGACCCUGCGUUGCGGGUCACGGACGAUGAAAACGAGGGCCUGGGAUUGGCCUUCACCCCGGAGGAGAUUGACAAGGCGACCCUUGGCAUGAAAUCCGACACCGCACCCGGGCCGGAUGGGUGGCCGGUGGCGAUGUUCAAAAGGUUUUGGCAAGUGCUCAAAGGGCCUAUUUUUGACGUUUGCAAUGGUUUUAUGCGGGGUACGGUAGAUAUCUCUCGCCUAAACUUUGGGGUUCUCUCUCUGAUCCCCAAAGUUCCGGGCGCGGAUCAUAUUAGGCUCUUUCGUCCCAUAGCGUUGAUUAAUGUUCCGUUUAAAAUUUGUGCUAAGGCUUGUUCGACUCGCUUGUCUCCGAUAGCUCACCGUAUUAUUAGUAGGAACCAAUCGGCUUUUAUUCGGGGGCGCAACAUCUUAGAUGGCCCUCCAGGAGAUUGUGCACUCCCUAAAACGCGCUCGCCAGCCCGCGAUUCUCCUGAAGCUAGACUUUGAGAAGGCGUACGACCGCGUGAACUGGGAGUUUCUCCGUCAGGUCCUCCUGGACCGGGGAUUCUCGUCGGUUUGGGUUCAUCGCAUGAUGCAGUUGGUCUCGGGGGGCCAAACGGCGAUUGCGGUGAACGGAGAAGUAGGGAACUUCUUCCGCAACAAGCGUGGGCUGCGUCAGGGGGACCCAGCCUCGCCGUUGCUGUUUAACUUUGUAGCGGACGCCUUGGGCGCCAUGCUCGACAGAGCUCGUUUGGCUGGCCACAUCAGGGGAGUGGUGGACAACCUGAUCCCGGGGGGAGUGUCACACCUGCAAUACGCGGAUGACACACUCCUCCUCUUCGAGCCCGACACACACAGUAUCGCAUCGGUCAAGGCCAUUCUGUUGUGUUUUGAACUCAUGUCGGGGCUUAAAAUCAACUUCCACAAGUGUGAAGUGGUGUCCAUGGGGAUGGACGCGGCCGAAAGUCAGCGGGUAGCCAACUUGCUUAACUGCAAACUUGGCCAGUUUCCGUUCACUUACCUCGGUCUCCCGAUCGCGGCGAAGAAAUGUUCGAUCGCUGAUUGGGAACCUCUCACCUCCAAGGUAGCGGGCAGGGUGUGUCCGUGGAGAGGUAGAUUUAUGUCUUCAGGGGCUAGACUAAUCUUAACCAACUCCAGCCUCUCAUCCUUACCUAUGUUCGCCAUGGGUUUGUUCUUACUGGCGGAUGGGGUACACACUAAGUUGGAUACCCCGCGGUCCCGUUUCUUUUGGGAAGGAGCGGGACCCAAACGGAAAUACCAUAUGGUCAAAUGGCAGGCCGUUUGUAGACCUAAAGCCCAGGGGGGCCUUGGGAUCAUCAACUCCAAGUUGAUGAAUAUUGCACUCAUGUGCAAAUGGAUCUGGAAGAUGUCUCAGGGUGAGACUGGCCUCUGGAUCGAUCUCCUCCGUGCGAAAUACUUCCCAAACGGAAAUUUCUUCGAGGCGGCCUCCCGUGGGUCCCCCUUCUGGAACUCCAUUCAAGCCCUAAAACCCUUCUUCGCCAGGGGCGCGAAAUUUGGGGUUAACAACGGGCGCUCCACGCGGUUUUGGCUAGACCUUUGGAUUGGCCACCAACCCCUAUGGUCGGAGUUUCGCCAACUCUACUCCAUUGCAGUCGAGCCCAACCAACUGGUUCCUUCGGCUCUUAGCUCCUCCCCACCCUAUAUCAACUUCAGAAGAGAAUUAUCGGGGACGGAAAUGGCGGAGUGGGACCGCCUCCGGGAUCUGAUCGCCGAUGUUCGCCUGUCGGACUCCGCGGACACGGUCUCUUGGAGACUUUCGGGCUCUGGCAAAUUCAAUGUCAAUUCCCUAUACAGAGAGCUUACCCGCGGCCAGGUCCCUUCGGCUGCCAAGGGGCUUUGGAAGGCCAAAAUCCCUCUCAAGAUCAAGGUCUUCCUCUGGCAACUACGCCAAGAUCACCUUCCUACCUCUAUCGACCUUGCCAAGCGCAACGGCCCCGCCUCCGGCCCUUGUGCUCUGUGUGGGGUUCCGGAAGAUGCUGACCACGCUUUCUUCCGGUGCUCUUUGGCGCGCUUUGCCUAGAGCGCGGCCUCACAGGCCGCGGGGGUGGAUUGGGAUCCCCGCUCCCGAGCCGCGCUAGUGUCUUCUUUGUCAUUGGUUCAUGGCCCGGCUCGUCGGGUCAUGUGGACGUGUGCGGCGGCCAUGUUAUGGGCUAUCUGGCAUAUUCGUAACAAGUUUACUAUUGAGGGCGUAUUUCCCUCGCAUCCCGCUGACGUUAUUUUCAAAUGCAUCGUUUUCUUGCAGCAAUGGGCACCGCUGGGCAGACAACAGGACUCUGAUCUUCAUCGCCAAGCUCUUUGCCGUCUUCGCUUAGUUUACGCCGAGUCCCGCACGCCGUCGUCCGCGCCGUCUGCUGUCGCAUAGGGAUGGGCAGCUCCUUUUGGUUGUAGUUUCAGCCGAGCCUGCGUGCUCGUUUCGCUAGGCCGGCCGUGCCUUGUAACGUACUUUAUUCCUCCUCCGGCUGCAGUUUCCUAGACCUGCUCGUAUUUUGUUUGGUACCGUGUGUUGGUCAUGUGGUUGUCAUACGCUGCCUAUGUUGUGGGCUUUAUUAAUUUAAAGCCGGACGUCCCUGACGUCUAUGUUCUAAAAAAAAAGUUAGAG